UCUCUAUAGUGUAAAAGUUAAGUCAAAUUUGUAUGGAGUUGGAAUGUUUGCCUGCGUUUGCCGCUAGAGGCGCUGUUCCAACUGCAUACUUUCAGGUAACUUUUACGCUAUCGA
rnacentral:pre_miRNA from 9 species